rnacentral:RNase_P_RNA from 2 species
CCGGGAGGGCGGAGGGUCGCCUCCGGUUUACCGGGGGAGGAAAGUCCGAACUCCGCAGGGCGCGAUGCCGCGUAACCCGUUCCACUGGGCGGGAUGCACGCGGGAGGUGGCAUUUCAAGAUGUCAUCGACGGCCAGUGCCACAGAAAACAGACCGCUCGGUUCGCCGGGUAAGGGUGAAAAGGUGGGGUAAGAGCCCACCGCCCCAAGAGCAAUCGCGGGGGCAUGGUAAACCCCAUUGGGAGCAAGACCAAAUAGGGAACCCGGGACGGCCCGUCCCAUUGAGGUUCCGGGUUGGGUCGCAACAGAUAAAUGGCCCUCUCCACUGCCGGCUUGCCGGCCAGUGCAGACAGAAUUCGGCUUACAGCCCGACCGGGAUC